rnacentral:misc_RNA from 1 species
CCAAUAGCGUAUAUUAAAGUUGUUGCAGUUAAAAAGCUCGUAGUUGAAUUUCGGGGUUAGUAAGUUGGUCGUGCCACUGGUAUGUACUGGCUUUACUGAUUCCUCCUUCUUGUAGAACCGUAAUGCCAUUAAGUUGGUGUUGCGGGGAAACAGGACUGUUACUUUGAAAAAAUUAGUGUUUAAAGCAAGCUAACGCUUGAAUACAUUAGCAUGGAAUAAUGAAAUAGGACGUUCGAUCCUAUUUUGUUGGUUUUUAGGAUUGACGUAAUGAUUAAUAGGGUUAGUUGGGGGCAUUAGUAUUCAAUUGUCAGAGGUGAAAUUCUUGGAUUUAUUGAAGACUAACUACUGCGAAAGCAUUUGCCAAGGAUGUUUUCAUUAAUCAAGAACGAAAGUUAGGGGAUCGAAGACGAUCAGAUACCGUCGUAGUCUUAACCAUAAACUAUGCCGACUAGGGAUCGGAUGAUGUUAAUUUUAUAAUGACUCAUUCGGCGCCUUACG